GUUGGAUUUUUGGAAAUACUAUUUUUCAGAGCGUUGUACCCAGCACUUUACAUAUAUUGAUCUCUGUAUAGGAGAAUCUCUGCUUCGUAUGUUGCACGCGCUGCAGGCUGGGCCUUGAUGGUCAGGUGGGCCCCCGGCUGCGGGUUUCUGGGGUCCGGCUGAGCCCAGCUCCCCGCCUCCCUCCCUUUUUGCAAGGGUACAGGAGUCCCGUGACUCCCAGAGCCAGGCCCUACCCUCUGCUCACUGUCCAGCCCCUGAAGCUUUCCAUGUUGAUGUAGAGCCUCCAGGACCAGGUGUCCCAGAGGGAAUGACAGCUGAGCUGAGCAGGAAUUGGGCAGGGGCUGUGGGUGUGGACUGACGUGCCUGAGCUGGGGACAGCAUGUGCGAGGGCCUAGAGGCCAAGAGAGCAGGUCCUGUGAGGUUCUGGGAAAGAGGUCCUCUGUGCAGUUGGCAUAUAGGGCCUUGCGAACUCCUGCGUGGGGCAGAGGAUGGGAAGGCUUGCUGUGCUGGCGUGGGGGAGGCGUGAUCCAGGCUGUGCUCCCGCUUCUCCCGCGUCCCCUCCUUGAAUAUCCUUGUGACACCUCCCCCCCCAGAACUGGCGUACCCAGGCCUGGGCUUGUCCGUCUUCCCUGAUGAGUAGCAGGCACCAAGUCCCCCGCUCCUGCUUUCCUCUCCUCUGCCAGGAAGCCUCUGGUGCCUCAGGCCCCUGUUCCCCGCCUCCCUCCACCCUGUCUUCUGGUGGUGUUAGAUGUGCCUUCCUCCGGGCCUGACCUGGGUCCGGCCCUUGGUGUGGGAUCCCAGGUGUUCCCCUGGCCCAGUCCCCAGAGGGUGACUGGGUGGCUGUGGCGCCCAGUGGGGUAAGCGCUCUUGCCCCAGCUAAUGGAGCUGGCUUCCGUAGGAAGGUUCUGAAGAAGAUUGUUAACGGAUGUGCCGCCAUCCUUCAGGACAAGUGGACUGAUGGACAAGCCUGGUCCGUGCCCUAAGGAGCCUCGAGGCCCGGGAGGAUGGCCAGGCCGUUCGGCCCCGGGGAGUUCCGCUGGGCUAUGAAAUCCAAGCUGCGUGGCUCGGGCUGGAGGGCCACGAUGUCCUGCCAGGAGGAGACGGCUAAAGGCUCUACGCCCAAUGUGGGGCUUGAACUCACGACCUCGAGAUCAAGAGUCUCAUGCUCUUCCCACCGAGCCGGCCAGGUGCCCUGAGACGCACAGACUUUAAAUGUAUAGUCUGAGGAGUUCUGACAGAUGUCUACACAUGUAACCACCACCUUGAUCAGGACAGAGGUGAAGACCGAGAUUUCUGUCUUAAGUGAUUUUUAAAAAGAAUUUCUGCUUAUAGAAUUCACACCGGAGGCAGAGCACUGGGACUGCAGAGAAAUCCAGGGCAGGGCCUGGCAGGGUUUCCUCACGGAAACAUUGUCCUGCUCGCCCUCCGUUGUCUGGCUGCCAAAAAAGGGGGCCAGCUGCCUGCCACCAGCCCACCGACCAACCACUACGAGCAUGUGGGUGUAUUUUCUUCCAGUUUUUUCUAUGCAUGUAUAUAAAUAUAUUAAAAUUAUUUUCUAUGCAUAUUUUUUACAUACAUGACAUCAGAUCGCUUAAAUAAGUACUUUUAAACUUACUGUAGUCUAAGCACUUUCCUAUAUUGUAAAAUGCUUUGAAAAUGACUUCUCAGGAGCCUUUGGUGUUUACCUGGUGAUAUCUGAUUCAGCUAAUGUUGACAGCAUAAGGAGUUAAUGUUGGCACUUUUUAAAAUGUGAAUUUUAUUUAUUUUGAAAUAAAUAAUACAUUUACAUGGCUUGA